rnacentral:rRNA from 1 species
CAGUAGCCGCGGGAAUACGUAGGUGGCAAGCGUUGUCCGGAAUUAUUGGGCGUAAAGGGCUCGCAGGCGGUUUCUUAAGUCUGAUGUGAAAGCCCCCGGCUCAACCGGGGAGGGUCAUUGGAAACUGGGGAACUUGAGUGCAGAAGAGGAGAGUGGAAUUCCACGUGUAGCGGUGAAAUGCGUAGAGAUGUGGAGGAACACCAGUGGCGAAGGCGACUCUCUGGUCUGUAACUGACGCUGAGGAGCGAAAGCGUGGGGAGCGAACAGGAUUAGAUACCCCGGUAGUCCCUGUCUCUUAUAC